GUGUCAGCCGCCGCGGUAAUACGGAGGUGGCAAGCGUUGCUCGGAAUUACUGGGCGUAAAGGGUGCGUAGGCGGCCAGGUAAGUCGUUCGUGAAAUCCUCCCGCUCAACGGGAGAAUUGCGGACGAAACUGCUUGGCUUGAGGCCGGGAGAGGGAGGUGGAAUUCCCGGUGUAGCGGUGAAAUGCGUGGAUAUCGGGAGGAACACCAGUGGCGAAGGCGGCCUCCUGGCCCGGUCCUGACGCUGAGGCACGAAAGCUGGGGGAGCGAACAGGAUUAGAUACCCUGGUAGUCCCAGCCGUAAACGAUGGGCACUAGGUGUCUCUGAUGUAUUAUCGGGGGUGCCGGAGCUAACGCGUUAAGUGCCCCGCCUGGGGACUACGGCCGCAAGGCUGAAACUCAAAGGAAUUGACGGGG
rnacentral:rRNA from 1 species